AACGAACGCUGGCGGCAGGCUUAACACAUGCAAGUCGAACGCCCCGCAAGGGGAGUGGCAGACGGGUGAGUAACGCGUGGGAACAUACCCUUUCCUGCGGAAUAGCUCUGGGAAACUGGAAUUAAUACCGCAUACGCCCUACGGGGGAAAGAUUUAUCGGGGAAGGAUUGGCCCGCGUUGGAUUAGCUAGUUGGUGGGGUAAAGGCCUACCAAGGCGACGAUCCAUAGCAGGUCUGAGAGGAUGAUCAGCCACAUUGGGACUGAGACACGGCCCAAACUCCUACGGGAUGCAGCAGUGGGGAAUAUUGGACAAUGGGCGCAAGCCUGAUCCAGCCAUGCCGCGUGAGUGAUGAAGGCCUUAGGGUUGUAAAGCUCUUUCACCGAUGAAGAUAAUGACGGUAGUCGGAGAAGAAGCCCCGGCUAACUUCGUGCCAGCCGCCGCCGUAAAAC
rnacentral:rRNA from 1 species